rnacentral:rRNA from 1 species
AACGAACGCUGGCGGCAUGCCUAACACAUGCAAGUCGAACGAUCCCUUCGGGGAUAGUGGCGCACGGGUGCGUAACGCGUGGGAAUCUGCCCUUGGCUUCGGAAUAACAGUUAGAAAUGACUGCUAAUACCGGAUGAUGUCUUCGGACCAAAGAUUUAUCGGCCAGGGAUGAGCCCGCGUAGGAUUAGGUAGUUGGUGAGGUAAAGGCUCACCAAGCCGACGAUCCUUAGCUGGUCUGAGAGGAUGAUCAGCCACACUGGGACUGAGACACGGCCCAGACUCCUACGGGAGGCAGCAGUGGGGAAUAUUGGACAAUGGGCGCAAGCCUGAUCCAGCAAUGCCGCGUGAGUGAUGAAGGCCUUCGGGUCGCAAAGCUCUUUUACCCGGGAUGAUAAUGACAGUACCGGGAGAAUAAGCUCCGGCUAACUUCGUGCCAGCCGCCGCAGUAAUAC